rnacentral:rRNA from 1 species
AUUGAACGCUGGCGGCAGGCUUAACACAUGCAAGUCGAGCGGGGUGAUGGUGCUUGCACUAUCACUUAGCGGCGGACGGGUGAGUAAUGCUUAGGAAUCUGCCUAUUAGUGGGGGACAACAUCUCGAAAGGGAUGCUAAUACCGCAUACGUCCUACGGGAGAAAGCAGGGGAUCACUUGUGACCUUGCGCUAAUAGAUGAGCCUAAGUCGGAGUAGCUAGUUGGUGGGGUAAAGGCCUACCAAGGCGACGAUCUGUAGCGGGUCUGAGAGGAGGAUCCGCCACACUGGGACUGAGACACGGCCCAGACUCCUACGGGAGGCAGCAGUGGGGAAUAUUGGACAAUGGGGGGAACCCUGAUCCAGCCAUGCCGCGUGUGUGAAGAAGGCCUUAUGGUUGUAAAGCACUUUAAGCGAGGAGGAGGCUCUUUUGGUUAAUACCCAAGAUGAGUGGACGUUACUCGCAGAAUAAGCACCGGCUAACUCUGUGCCAGCAGCCGCAGUAA